GAUGAACGCUGGCGGCGUGCCUAAUACAUGCAAGUCGAGCGGAUGGACGAAAAUCGCUCCUCUCUGAUGUUAGCGGCGGACGAGUGAUUACCACGUGUAUAACCUACCUAUAAGGAUGAGAUAACUUCGGGGAAGCGGAUCUAACACCGGAUAAUAUGUUGAACCGCAUGGUUCAAAAGUGAUAGAGGGUCUUGCUGUCACUAAUAGGUGUAUCCGCGUUGCAUUAGCUAGUUGGUACGGUAACGGCCUACCAAGGCGACGAUGCAUAGCCGACCUGAGAGGAUGAUCAGCCACACUGGAACUGAGACACGGUCCAGACUCCUACGGGAGGCAGCAGUAGGGAAUCUUCGACAAUGGGCGAAAGCCUGAUGCAGCCAUGCCGCGUGAGUGAAGAAGGUCUUCGGAUCGUAAAGCUCUGUUAGUAGGGAAGAAGGGAAGUAUGAGUAACCCUUGCUAUUUUGACGUUACCUACUGAGAAAGCAACGGCUAACUACGUG
rnacentral:rRNA from 1 species